rnacentral:rRNA from 1 species
UACGUAGGGCGCAAGCGUUGUCCGGAAUUAUUGGGCGUAAAGAGCUCGUAGGCGGCUUGUCACGUCGGAUGUGAAAGCCCGGGGCUUAACCCCGGGUCUGCAUUCGAUACGGGCUAGCUAGAGUGUGGUAGGGGAGAUCGGAAUUCCUGGUGUAGCGGUGGAAUGCGCAGAUAUCAGGAGGAACACCGGUGGCGAAGGCGGGUCUCUGGGCAGUAACUGACGCUGAGGAGCGAAAGCGUGGGGAGCGAACAGG